CCCUUAGAUGUUCUGGGCUGCACGCGUGCUACACUGAUAUUGCCAAUAUGUCAUUCUUAUCCGAAAUGGAUUGGGUAAUCAAGUAAUGAAAUUUCAUGCUUGGAAUCGGUAAUUGCAAUUUUAUCGUGAACGAGGAAUUCCUAGUAAGCACUAGUCAUCAGCUAAUGUUGAUUAUGUCCCUGCCCUUUGUACACACCGCCCGUCGCUACUACUGAUUGGGUGUUCAAGUGAGAUGCUUAGUCCCUUGUUGCAUGGUUCAUUAUUGUGCUCCGAAAGGAAAAAGUUUCAAGCUUGAGUGUCUAGAGGAAGUAAAAGUCGUAACA
rnacentral:rRNA from 1 species